rnacentral:tRNA from 1 species
GCUCCAGUGGCGCAAUUGGUUAGUGCAUGGUACUUAUACAGCAGUACUCAGCAAGAGAUGCCAAGGUUGUGAGUUCAAGCCUCACCUGGAGCA